CGAAGGGGGCUAGCGUUGUUCGGAGUUACUGGGCGUAAAGGGCGCGUAGGCGGCCCUCCAAGUCGGGCGUGAAAGCCCACGGCUCAACCGUGGGAUUGCGCUCGAGACUGAAGGGCUCGAGGACGGGAGAGGAUGGUGGAAUUCCCAGUGUAGAGGUGAAAUUCGUAGAUAUUGGGAAGAACACCGGUGGCGAAGGCGGCCAUCUGGACCGUAUCUGACGCUGAGGCGCGAAAGCGUGGGGAGCAAACAGGAUUAGAUACCCUGGUAGUCCACGCCGUAAACGAUGAGUGCUAGACGUUGGGGAACCUAGUUCCUCGGUGUCGCAGCUAACGCAUUAAGCACUCCGCCUGGGGAGUACGGCCGCAAGGUUA
rnacentral:rRNA from 1 species